rnacentral:rRNA from 1 species
UUGAGCGAUUUACUUCGGUAAAGAGCGGCGGACGGGUGAGUAACGCGUGGGUAACCUACCCUGUACACACGGAUAACAUACCGAAAGGUAUGCUAAUACGGGAUAAUAUAUUUGAGAGGCAUCUCUUAAAUAUCAAAGGUGAGCCAGUACAGGAUGGACCCGCGUCUGAUUAGCUAGUUGGUAAGGUAACGGCUUACCAAGGCGACGAUCAGUAGCCGACCUGAGAGGGUGAUCGGCCACAUUGGAACUGAGACACGGUCCAAACUCCUACGGGAGGCAGCAGUGGGGAAUAUUGCACAAUGGGCGAAAGCCUGAGGCAGCAACGCCGCGUGAGUGAUGAAGGCCUUCGGGGCGUAAAACUCUGUCCUCAAGGAAGAUAAUGACGGUACUUGAGGAGGAAGCCCCGGCUAACUACGUGCCAGCAGCCGCGGUAAUACGUAGGGGGCUAGCGUUAUCCGGAUUUACUGGGCGUAAAGGGUGCGUAGGCGGUCUUUAAAGUCAGGGGUGAAAGUCUACGGCUCAACCGUAGUAAGCUCUUGAAACUGGGAGACUUGAGUGCAGGAGAGGAGAGUGGAAUUCCUAGUGUAGCGGUGAAAUGCGUAGAUAUUAGGAGGAACACCAGUUGCGAAGGCGGCUC